AAUAUAAUUCAAACCAUUAAUCAAGUAAUACUUCUUUUGUGUAUGACCUUUCAGAUUCUAUUUUAUCUGGUAGUGAGACAUACCGUGAUCUCCAUCACAGUAUCAUCAAAACUCUUUUCGAUGGGCUAAAACGAUUCUAACUCACCUCAACAAAGAUCGUUGAUUCGAAAAUGAUCUUAGUGAGUUCUCAGAUCCACCAG
rnacentral:lncRNA from 1 species